GGAGGUGGAGCUUUGGGCAGUGCAAGGCGGGGGCGUUGGUGGUAAGUUCUUCUUAUUCCUCUUCGUUCUAAGAUGCCCCUGCAGGCUAGGGUUCCCGGCGGGCGGCGGCCGCCCCUACUACUCUCGCCCUCACGACCACCCACCAAUGGAGUCCACCAUGGAGAAUGCCCAGUUGCCCACGUAGUGGGAGCGCCAAGCUGUCUGGAACCGGCGCGAUUACUAGGGAGAGUGGUGGUGGCGGCAUGGAGGUGGUGCCGUGGGGGAUAGCCGCAGUUGCUGGGGCAGAGGUAGUAGUGGACAUCGGCGUCGGCGCGUCGCGGAUCUGCUGCGUGAAGGCUACUGAGGGGACGGCCUGGGAGAGCAAGGUGCGCAUGUAAGGAUGUCUGGGACCAGCCCUGUGGAUCAACAUGGUGCGCAUGAGCGAUGAUGCUUCCUUGGUCCCUCCACCAUGUCAAGGAGGCCUACAUGUGCGGCUUCUGAACCAGCCAUAAAUAUGUUGAGGCUAGGAAUAUUCAGCUAGGAAGAUGGGAGUAGAAGAGGAGCAACGCGAGAUGGCUUGUGCAACAUGAAUAGAGCUGCCGCUCCAACCAGAGAGAACAAGCUUGUGAACUUCAGGCAUUGUAUAUCUCUCCAAACCGCAGGAUGUAGAUUCAGAACACUUUGAGACAUCACCUCUUUAUGCCAAAGGGAAUUGAUGAUGAAUUGAUGAUGAUGUGACAACAUGAAGCUAACAAGGUCUAGCAGAUAAUUAUAAUGCAGUGACGAGUGAAAAUGAGAGAGCACUACCAGAGAAAUGCUACAUAACUUUUUAAGUGGCAUUAUGUUAGUUUAGUUUGAGCGCAAGUGUAAAAGUAUGUCUUUCUCACAUCCUUAAAAACGUUAAAAAAAAGAGCCCUUCACUGAUGAUUCUUGUGUGUAUGAGUGUAUCCUCCGGUUUUACUUACGAUUGUAGACUUAGCAUAUUCACUACUAUAGAACAAUCAAUUUUAUCUUUAUCA